rnacentral:rRNA from 1 species
AGAGUUUGAUCCUGGCUCAGAGUGAACGCUGGCGGCAUGCCUAACACAUGCAAGUCGAACGGAGUUUGUCUGCGAUUACAUCAAGGGCAAACUGAGUGGCAGACGGGUGAGUAAUACGUUAACAAUCUGCCCUCGAGUGGGGGAUAACUCCGGGAAACCGGAGCUAAUACCGCAUAAGACCACAGCCCGACAUCGGGCAGAGGUCAAAGCCUCGCAAGGGGCGCUGGAGGAGGAGUGCACGGCCUAUCAGCUAGUUGGUGAGGUAACGGCUCACCAAGGCGACGACGGGUAGGCGGUCUGAAAGGACGACCGCCCACAAUGGCACUGAGACACGGGCCAUACUCCUACGGGAGGCAGCAGUGGGGAAUUUUGCGCAAUGGGGGAAACCCUGACGCAGCGAUGCCGCGUGGAGGACGAAGGUCUUCGGAUUGUAAACUCCUUUUGUAAGGGACAAUACGUCACGUGAAGAGCGUGACUAGAUGGUACCUUACGAAUAAGCCACGGCUAACUUCGUGCCAGCAGCCGCGGUAGACGAAGGUGGCGAGCGUUACUCGGAUUUACUAGGCGUAAAGCGUGGGUAGGUGGUUCGGUCAGUCUGUUGUGAAAGCUCCCGGCUCAACUGGGAGAGGUCAAUGGAUACUGCCGGACUUGAAUGCGGGAGAGGUCGCUGGAAUUCCUGGUGUAGCGGUGAAAUGCGUAGAGAUCAGGAGGAACACCGAUGGCGAAAGCAGGCGACUGGACCGUUAUUGACACUGAGCCACGAAAGCUAGGGGAGCAAACAGGAUUAGAUACCCUGGUAGUCCUAGCUGUAAACGAUGCUCACUAGAUGUGGGGGGUAUCGACCCCUUCCGCGUCGACGCUAACGCAUUAAGUGAGCCGCCUGGGGAGUACGGCCGCAAGGUUGAAACUCAAAGGAAUUGACGGGGGCCCGCACAAGCGGUGGAGCAUGUGGUUUAAUUCGACGCAACGCGAAGAACCUUACCUGGGCUUGAACCGCUGGUAGUAAUUCCCUGGAAACAGGGGGUGAACCGUAAAGUCGGAUGCCAGUAGAGGUGCUGCAUGGCUGUCGUCAGCUCGUGUCGUGAGAUGUUGGGUUAAGUCCCGCAACGAGCGCAACCCCCAUCCUAUGUUGCCAAUCCCGCAAGGGAUGCACUCUUAGGAGACUGCCUCGGAUAACGGGGAGGAAGGCGGGGACGACGUCAAGUCAUCAUGGCCUUUAUGUCCAGGGCUACACACGUGCUACAAUGGCCGGCACAACGGGAUGCAAUACCGCAAGGUGGAGCCAAUCCUCAAAGCCGGCCCCAGUUCGGAUUGUGGGCUGAAACCCGCCCACAUGAAGGUGGAAUCGCUAGUAAUCGCAGAUCAGCAGGCUGCGGUGAAUACGUUCCCGGGCCUUGUACACACCGCCCGUCACACCACGAAAGCCCGUUGCAACAGAAGUCCUGGGUUUCCCAGGCCCAAGUUGUGGCUGGUGAUUGGGGUGAAGUCGUAACAAGGUA